rnacentral:rRNA from 1 species
UACGAAGGGGGCGAGCGUUGUUCGGAAUUACUGGGCGUAAAGGGCGCGUAGGCGGCGAUCCGAGUCAGAUGUGAAAGUCCUGGGCUUAACCUGGGGACUGCAUUUGAUACUGGAUUGCUUGAAUUCGGGAGAGGAUAGCGGAAUUCCCAGUGUAGAGGUGAAAUUCGUAGAUAUUGGGAAGAACACCGGUGGCGAAGGCGGCUAUCUGGACCGACAUUGACGCUGAGGCGCGAAGGCGUGGGGAGCAAACAGG